AUAUUAACCAAUAAAUGUUUUAGAGGAAUCGCAACGGUAACAAUGCAUCCAGACAGAUUUGCUGGCAACCUAGGCCUGGGUAACUCAGCGAACUUUUAGGAGUUGGCGUAGUGCUGCGCAAUUGGCUUGGUGCACCAACCCCAUGCCCCGGCGCAGUAACUCAUUUCUGUUGCUGGCAAAACGUACAACAAAUGAGAUGUUAAAAUUCAAGUCACGGGUCUCGGAAAGCUUUAAUCCGCUUUAAUGAGUUAUAACUCAUUAACAGAUGACUUAUAAUGCAUCAACUCAGAGAGCUGCAACAACUCAACCUAUGUCCAACACAUUAGCAUUACAGCGUAUUUGUCUUCAAUUUUUUUUAUUUAACUCUUCAAAACUUAAGAUAUAUAACAAUGUCGGACGUGCAUAAAGUUUAGGGUUCUUAGUCAGGCUCUAAAUCCGUCAAAUCGUUUUUAAAUAAUAUUCUUACCAGAAAGUGGAAAUUGUCAUAGAAAGUGAAAGCUUUAACAAAACAAAACUGAACAAGUCCUAACGGCUGAGUCAUAAUGAAAUACAAUAUUUAAAAGCAACAGUGAAGACCGUAUAAAGCGAAUAAGGAUGGCAAUUGAACUAAGGAAGUCCGAAAAUACCCAUCUAUUUAUGAUUACGAAUUUGAAAAUUGUAAGAUUUUUGCAGUAAAAGAAAAUGGAUGGAGAAAAAUAGCCCCAACAAUAGAAAAAAUGGAAGGUAAAUUGUAUUAGGAUUUUUGUAAGGAAUUGUUCUUUCUUUCCUCCUAUUCUAACCAAAUAAGAGUUAAAAGUA